rnacentral:rRNA from 1 species
UACGUAGGGUGCGAGCGUUAAUCGGAAUUACUGGGCGUAAAGCGUGCGCAGGCGGUUCGUUGUGUCUGUGGUGAAAGCCCCGGGCUUAACCUGGGAAUGGCCAUGGAAACUGGCGGACUUGAGUGUGGCAGAGGGGGGUGGAAUUCCGCGUGUAGCAGUGAAAUGCGUAGAGAUGCGGAGGAACACCGAUGGCGAAGGCAGCCCCCUGGGCUAACACUGACGCUCAGGCACGAAAGCGUGGGGAGCAAACAGG